GUGAACUUGGACUGGCUGGCCGAAGCGGCGGAGAGGAAAAUUUUCCCUAGGUCAAGUGGCAGCAUGGAGCCACCUCAUCUCACCUCUACUAUAUGGGAUGUUAUACCCUCCCAACUUUGGUCGCUGACUGACUCACAUAGGAUUCCAAAGAUCAGCCUCUUGACUCAAGAUCCCACUGGAAGAGAUGGAUGCCAUACUGCUGCCAGGGUUCUUGUUUGCAGAGCUGAAGAAUGAACUUAGCAAAC